rnacentral:rRNA from 1 species
GACGAACGCUGGCGGCGUGCCUAAUACAUGCAAGUAGAACGCUGAAGGAGGAGCUUGCUCUUCUGGAUGAGUUGCGAACGGGUGAGUAACGCGUAGGUAACCUGCCUGGUAGCGGGGGAUAACUAUUGGAAACGAUAGCUAAUACCGCAUAAGAGUAGAUGUUGCAUGACAUUUGCUUAAAAGGUGCAAUUGCAUCACUACCAGAUGGACCUGCGUUGUAUUAGCUAGUUGGUGGGGUAACGGCUCACCAAGGCGACGAUACAUAGCCGACCUGAGAGGGUGAUCGGCCACACUGGGACUGAGACACGGCCCAGACUCCUACGGGAGGCAGCAGUAGGGAAUCUUCGGCAAUGGACGGAAGUCUGACCGAGCAACGCCGCGUGAGUGAAGAAGGUUUUCGGAUCGUAAAGCUCUGUUGUAAGAGAAGAACGAGUGUGAGAGUGGAAAGUUCACACUGUGACGGUAUCUUACCAGAAAGGGACGGCUAACUACGUGCCAGCAGCCGCGGUAAUACGUAGGUCCCGAGCGUUGUCCGGAUUUAUUGGGCGUAAAGCGAGCGCAGGCGGUUAGAUAAGUCUGAGGUUAAAGGCUGUGGCUUAACCAUAGUACGCUUUGGAAACUGUUUAACUUGAGUGCAAGAGGGGAGAGUGGAAUUCCAUGUGUAGCGGUGAAAUGCGUAGAUAUAUGGAGGAACACCGGUGGCGAAAGCGGCUCUCUGGCUUGUAACUGACGCUGAGGCUCGAAAGCGUGGGGAGCAAACAGG